rnacentral:rRNA from 1 species
UACGUAGGGGGCAAGCGUUGUCCGGAUUUAUUGGGCGUAAAGAGCGUGUAGGCGGUUUGGUAGGUCCGCUGUGAAAACUCGAGGCUCAACCUCGAGACGCCGGUGGAAACCAUCAGACUAGAGUCCGGAAGAGGAGAGCGGAAUUCCUGGUGUAGCGGUGAAAUGCGCAGAUAUCAGGAAGAACACCCGUGGCGAAGGCGGGUCUCUGGGCAACAACUGACGCUGAGGAGCGAAAGCGUGGGGAGCGAACAGG